UAGCGGAGAGAUCCGUAGUGAACCUGCGAAUACGCCUAUCCCUGGCGUAUACACACGUCAACAAAAGAUCUAAAAGAAUAAAACUUUCAACAACGGAUCUCUUGGUUCUCGCAUCGAUGAAGAGCGCAGCGAAAUGCGAUACCUAGUGUGAAUUGCAGCCAUCGUGAAUCAUCGAGUUCUUGAACGCACAUUGCGCCCGUCGGUAUUCCGGCGGGCAUGCCUGUCUGAGCGUCGUUUCCUUCUUGUGCACCGGGGGUCUUUGCUGAUCUUCUGUGCGCAGAGCUGGCCGGGCCACUGGCCCGGCCAAAAAGAAACGUUGCGAACGAAGCGAACUACUUCGGGACGCUUUGGCCGCCGAGCGAAAAAACACCAUUGAGCUCGACCUCAGAUCAGGUAGGAGUACCCGCUGAACUUAAGCAUAUUUUAUAUUGCGGAGGAAGUUUUUAAGG
rnacentral:rRNA from 1 species